GGUCGGGUGUGUAAGCGCAGCGAUGCGUUGAGCUAACCGAUACUAAUGAACCGUGAGGCUUAACCUUACAACGCCGAAGGUGUUU
rnacentral:rRNA from 1 species